UUAUACAGCGAAACUGCGAAUGGCUCAUUAAAUCAGUUAUCGUUUAUUUGAUAGUGCCCAUCUACAUGGAUAACCGUGGUAAUUCUAGAGCUAAUACAUGCGUAAAAGCGCGACUUCGGGAGCGCUGUAUUUAUUAGAUUAAAGACCAAUGCCCUCCGGGGCUCACUGGUGAUUCAUGAUAACUCCUCUGAUCGCACGGCCUUGCGCCGGCGACGGCUCAUUCAAAUUUCUGCCCUAUCAACUUUCGACUUUAGUGUAGUGGACUAAAGUGGUUGCAACGGGUAACGGAGGGUUAGGGCUCGACCCCGGAGAAGGAGCCUGAGAAACGGCUACUACAUCCAAGGAAGGCAGCAGGCGCGCAAAUUACCCAAUCCCGACACGGGGAGGUAGUGACAAUAAAUACUGAUACAGGGCUCUUUCGGGUCUUGUAAUCGGAAUGAGUACAAUCUAAAUCCUUUAACGAGGAGCAAUUGGAGGGCAAGUCUGGUGCCAGCAGCCGCGGUAAUUCCAGCUCCAAUAGCGUAUAUUAAAGUUGUUGUGGUUAAAAAGCUCGUAGUUGAACCUGGGCCCCGUCCCGGCCGGUCCGCCUCACCGCGUGCACUGGUUCGGGAGGGGCUUCGCACCUUGGGGGUACGCAUGCCCUUCGCUGGGCGUGCGGGGAACCAGGACUUUUACUGUGAAAAAAUUAGAGUGUUCAAAGCAGGCCUAUGCUCGAAUACAUUAGCAUGGAAUAAUAAAAUAGGACGUGCGGUUCUAUUUUGUUGGUUAUGGGACCGCCGUAAUGAUUAAUAGGGACAGUCGGGGGCGUCAGUAUUCGGUGGUCAGAGGUGAAAUUCUUGGACCCACCGAAGACUAACUACUGCGAAAGCAUUCGCCAAGGAUGUUUUCAUUAAUCAGGAACGAAAGUUAGGGGAUCGAAAACGAUCAGAUACCGUUGUAGUCUUAACCAUAAACUAUGCCGACUAGGGAUCGGGCGAUGUUGCUUACUGACUCGCUCGGCACCUUUCGAGAAAUCAAAGUC
rnacentral:rRNA from 1 species